UGCUAGGGCAGUGGCAAGGGGAAAUGUGGGGUUGGAGCCCCCGUGCGUAGUCCCUACUGGGGUACUGCCUCAUGGAGCUGUAAAAAAACAGACC